UGGGGAAUAUUGCACAAUGGGCGCAAGCCUGAUGCAGCCAUGCCGCGUGUAUGAAGAAGGCCUUCGGGUUGUAAAGUACUUUCAGCGAGGAGGAAGGCGUUGUGGUUAAUAACCGCAACGAUUGACGUUACUCGCAGAAGAAGCACCGGCUAACUCCGUGCCAGCAGCCGCGGUAAUACGGAGGGUGCAAGCGUUAAUCGGAAUUACUGGGCGUAAAGCGCACGCAGGGGGUCUGUCAAGUCGGAUGUGAAAUCCCCGGGCUCAACCUGGGAACUGCAUCCGAAACUGGCAGGCUAGAGUCUUGUAGAGGGGGGUAGAAUUCCAGGUGUAGCGGUGAAAUGCGUAGAGAUCUGGAGGAAUACCGGUGGCGAAGGCGGCCCCCUGGACAAAGACUGACGCUCAGGUGCGAAAGCGUGGGGAGCAAACA
rnacentral:rRNA from 1 species